GUAGGCAUAGUUUAAAUAAAACAUUAGAUUGUGAUUCUAAAAACAGAAGUUAAAGCCUUCUUACCCACC
rnacentral:tRNA from 1 species